UACAGAGGUCUCAAGCGUUGUUCGGAUUCAUUGGGCGUAAAGGGUGCGUAGGUGGCGUCGUAAGUCGGGUGUGAAAUCUCGGGGCUUAACUCCGAAACUGCAUUCGAUACUGCGAUGCUUGAGGACUGGAGAGGAGACUGGAAUUUACGGUGUAGCAGUGAAAUGCGUAGAGAUCGUAAGGAAGACCAGUGGCGAAGGCGGGUCUCUGGACAGUUCCUGACACUGAGGCACGAAGGCCAGGGGAGCAAACGGG
rnacentral:rRNA from 1 species